rnacentral:rRNA from 1 species
CAGUCGCCACGGGAAUACGGAGGAUCCGAGCGUUAUCCGGAUUUAUUGGGUUUAAAGGGUGCGUAGGCGGCCUGUUAAGUCAGGGGUGAAAGACGGUAGCUCAACUAUCGCAGUGCCUUUGAUACUGACGGGCUUGAAUGUACUUGAGGUAGGCGGAAUGUGACAAGUAGCGGUGAAAUGCAUAGAUAUGUCACAGAACACCAAUUGCGAAGGCAGCUUACUAAAGUAUGAUUGACGCUGAGGCACGAAAGCGUGGGGAUCAAACAGGAUUAGAUACCCGAGUAGUCCCUGUCUCUUAUAC